rnacentral:rRNA from 2 species
UGCCAAGGUCGACGCGUCUUGGUUAUUGAUGUUAAGUGCUUGCAUUUAACUGAUUUAACAUUGAGACGAGUGGCGAACUGGUGAGUAACACGUGGGUAACCUGCCCUUGAAGUAGGGGAUAACACUUGGAAACAGGUGCUAAUACCGUAUAACAACCAAAACCACCUGGUUUUGGUUUAAAAGAUGGCUUCGGCUAUCACUUUAGGAUGGACCCGCGGCGUAUUAGCUUGUUGGUAAGGUAACGGCCUACCAAGGCAAUGAUACGUAGCCGACCUGAGAGGGUAAUCGGCCACAUUGGGACUGAGACACGGCCCAAACUCCUACGGGAGGCAGCAGUAGGGAAUCUUCCACAAUGGACGAAAGUCUGAUGGAGCAACGCCGCGUGAGUGAUGAAGGGUUUCGGCUCGUAAAACUCUGUUGUUGGAGAAGAACAGGUGUGAGAGUAACUGUUCACAUCUUGACGGUAUCCAACCAGAAAGCCACGGCUAACUACGUGCCAGCAGCCGCGGUAAUACGUAGGUGGCAAGCGUUGUCCGGAUUUAUUGGGCGUAAAGCGAGCGCAGGCGGUUUCUUAGGUCUGAUGUGAAAAGCCUUCGGCUUAACCGGAGAAGUGCAUCGGAACCAGGAGACUUGAGUGCAGAAGAGGACAGUGGAACUCCAUGUGUAAGCGGUGAAAUGCGUAGAUAUAUGGGAAGAACACCAGUGGGCGAAGC